rnacentral:lncRNA from 1 species
UCUUGCCCAGGCUGGUCUCAAACUCCUGGGCUCAAGGAGUCCUCCUGCCUCAGCCUCCCAGAAUAUUGGGAUUAUAGGUGUGAGCCACUGCCAGAAAAACUUUUCUUAAGAUAAGGCAGGGUUUACAUUAUAUUUAGAUUUUUUUUUAAUGAUGUCUUUUUUGGCAGUGCACAGCCAGAGAACAACACAUCACACACAGGAAACAGUUGUGCUCAUGUGAUGGGGGCCUCAGCACUAGGAAGGAGUGGACUAUUGGCGCAUGUAGCAGCUUGAAUAAAUCUGAAAGUCACUACACUGCGUAAGAGAAGCCAAAUAAAAAAGUUCAUGCUGUGUACAGAGGGUGUUGAGAAUGCCUCCUACGUGACGGAAAGCAGAUCCGUGGUUCCCUGCAGACCGGCAGGAGCAGAUUCCAAAGGCACAGGAAGAAGCUUGCAGUACAAAGAUAAAAAUCUAAAGUGGUUGCUGUGGAGGACAGGGGUCAGUGGUGGAAGUGAGACUGAAAUGGACUCUGAAGUAAUAUCUGGACUUUGAAAUUGUUGCCUGUUCACUCUGGCUAGUCAUAUGCAGAAAACUGAAACUAGACCCCUUCCUGACACCUUAUAUAAAAAUUAACUCAAGAUGGAUUAAAGAUUUAAACGUAAGACCCAAAACCAGAAAAAUCCUAGAAGAAAACCUAGGCAAUACCAUUCAGGACAUAAGCAUGGGCAAAGACUUCAU